rnacentral:rRNA from 1 species
GACGUAGGGACCGAGCGUUGUCCGGAGUUAUUGGGCGUAAAGCGCGCGCAGGUGGCCGCGUUAGCCUGGCGUGAAAGCCCCCGGCUCAACCGGGGAGAGUCGUCGGGGACGGCGCGGCUUGAGGGCGACAGGGGUCGGUGGAAUGCCCGGUGUAGUGGUGAAAUGCGUAGAGAUCGGGCGGAACACCCGUGGCGAAGGCGGCCGGCUGGGUCGCAGCUGACACUGAGGCGCGAAGGCGUGGGGAGCGAACGGG